ACAGCAGCAGCCGCGGUAAUACGAAGGGUGCAAGCGUUAAUCGGAAUUACUGGGCGUAAAGCGUGCGUAGGCGGUUUGUUAAGUCUGCUGUGAAAUCCCCGGGCUCAACCUGGGAAUGGCAGUGGAUACUGGCAAGCUAGAGUGUGUCAGAGGAUGGUGGAAUUCCCGGUGUAGCGGUGAAAUGCGUAGAGAUCGGGAGGAACAUCAGUGGCGAAGGCGGCCAUCUGGGACAACACUGACGCUGAGGCACGAAAGCGUGGGGAGCAAACAGGAUUAGAUACCCGCGUAGUCCCUGUCUCUUAUAC
rnacentral:rRNA from 1 species